AACGUAGGACGCAAGCGUUAUCCGGAGUUACUGGGCGUAAAGCGCGGGCAGGCGCCAACCAAGUCUGAUGUGAAAUCUCUUCGCUCAACGGAGAGAGGCCAUUGGAAACUGGUCGGCUGGAGGGCAGUAGAGGUAGGCGGAAUUCCGGGUGGAGUGGUGAAAUGCGUAGAGAUCCGGAGGAACACCAGAGGCGAAGGCGGCCUACUGGGCUGCACUGACGCUGAGCCGCGAAAGCCAGGGGAGCGAACGGG
rnacentral:rRNA from 1 species